rnacentral:lncRNA from 1 species
GCUGAAGCAUCUUUCACACCCUCCUCACCCUCCCCACCGACAUCAUGCUUCAGUUCCUGGUGAGUGGGGUCGCCGAGGAUCGGGCCCCGCGGUCGCCUCGUCCUUCCCGGGGUCCCAGGUCGGCGGUGCACGGCUCUGGAGUCCUGGCUCGAGCCGGUCGUUGCCCCUCGGGUUUACUCGCGAUUUUCCUCUGGCCUCCUCCUGAGUCCUUGGGUCUUUGCCUGGGUUUAUAUGCAGUCAUUCAAGUUCCGAAAACUUUGGGGUAUCAGCGAAAUUGCUGCGUUUUCAAAAACCACUUACUGUGAGCUAUUUGCGCAAUUCUCGUAGUAAGUUUGAUCGGAGAAGUCCGUAACGACUUGGCUCUUGUCCUCUCCCAAGACCCUCCCGUAGACCCCAUCUAUUAUUCUCAGCUUUUUUGAGGCCCUAGAGUGCCUUUCACACGCUGUGCAUUCGUCAGCCACCUCACGAGGUCGGAGAGAGAGAUCCACAGUGCCCUCCUUUGCCCGCUUUGA